rnacentral:tmRNA from 1 species
GGGGGCGACAAGGUUUCGACGGGACGGUUGAGGCCUCAGUUGCGCGCCGAGGACUCCGGUAUACUCGUCAAUUUACGGAAAAACUAAACUGCCAACUCUGAAUUGGCCUUCGCGGCUUAAUAUUGCCGCGACACGGAACUGCUAACGCCUGCUAGGCGGGGAAGUGUCAUUUAGCAGGCUGGCAUGCGGCUGGGUGGCCGGGACGUAUGCGACACAACCGUGGCCGCUGGCGCAUCGGGUGGCCUGCCUAUGGGCAGCCUGAUGGGCGAGACUUAAUUAUGGGAUACGCGCGUAGAUGCUGGUGUUACUUCGUUUCGGACGGGGGUUCGCCUCCCCCCGCCUCC